rnacentral:rRNA from 1 species
AUGGAGAGUUUGAUCCUGGCUCAGGAUGAACGCUGGCCGCGUGCCUAAUACAUGCAAGUCGAGCAAACGGACGAGAAGCUUGCUUCUCUGAUGUUAGGGGCGGACGGGUGAGUAACACGUGGAUAACCUACCUAUAAGACUGGGAUAACUUCGGGAAACCGGAGCUAAUACCGGAUAAUAUUUUGAACCGCAUGGUUCAAAAGUGAAAGACGUUCUUGCUGUCACUUAUAGAUGGAUCCGCGCUGCAUUAGCUAGUUGGUAAGGUAACGGCUUACCAAGGCAACAAUGCAUAGCCGACCUGAGAGGGUGAUCGGCCACACUGGAACUGAGACACGGUCCAGACUCCUACGGGAGGCAGCAGUAGGGAAUCUUCCGCAAUGGGCGAAAGCCUGACGGAGCAACGCCGCGUGAGUGAUGAAGGUCUUCGGAUCGUAAAACUCUGUUAUUAGGGAAGAACAUAUGUGUAAGUAACUGUGCACAUCUUGACGGUACCUAAUCAGAAAGCCACGGCUAACUACGUGCCAGCAGCCGCGGUAAAACGUAGGUGGCAAGCGUUAUCCGGAAUUAUUGGGCGUAAAGCGCGCGUAGGCGGUUUUUUAAGUCUGAUGUGAAAGCCCACGGCUCAACCGUGGAGGGUCAUUGGAAACUGGAAAACUUGAGUGCAGAAGAGGAAAGUGGAAUUCCAUGUGUAGCGGUGAAAUCGCAGAGAUAUGGAGGAACACCAGUGGCGAAGGCGACUUUCUGGUCUGUAACUGACGCUGAUGUGCGAAAGCGUGGGGAUCAAACAGGAUUAGAUACCCUGGUAGUCCACGCCGUAAACGAUGAGUGCUAAGUGUUAUGGGGUUUCCGCCCCUUAGUGCUGCAGCUAACGCAUUAAGCACUCCGCCUGGGGAGUACGCCGCAAGGUUGAAACUCAAAGGAAUUGACGGGGACCCGCACAAGCGGUGGAGCAUGUGGUUUAAUUCGAAGCAACGCGAAGAACCUUACCAAAUCUUGACAUCCUUUGACAACUCUAGAGAUAGAGCCUUCCCCUUCGGGGGACAAAGUGACAGGUGGUGCAUGGUUGUCGUCAGCUCGUGUCGUGAGAUGUUGGGUUAAGUCCCGCAACGAGCGCAACCCUUAAGCUUAGUUGCCAUCAUUAAGUUGGGCACUCUAAGUUGACUGCCGGUGACAAACCGGAGGAAGGUGGGGAUGACAUCAAAUCAUCAUGCCCCUUAUGAUUUGGGCUACACACGUGCUACAAUGGACAAUACAAAGGGCAGCGAAACCGCGAGGUCAAGCAAACCCAUAAAGUUGUUCUCAGUUCGGAUUGUAGUCUGCAACUCGACUACAUGAAGCUGGAAUCGCUAGUAAUCGUAGAUCAGCAUGCUACGGUGAAUACGUUCCCGGGUCUUGUACACACCGCCCGUCACACCACGAGAGUUUGUAACACCCGAAGCCGGUGGAGUAACCUUUUAGGAGCCAGCCGUCGAAGGUGGGACAAAUGAUUGGGUGAAGUCGUAACAAGGUAGCCGUAUCGGAAGGUGCGGCUGGAUCACCCC